rnacentral:misc_RNA from 1 species
CAACCCUCAAGCUCUGCUUGGUAUUGGGUGUUACCUUGCCUGGUACAUCUUAAAAUUAGUGGCGGUGCUAUUCAGCUUCAAGCAUAGUAAUACUUCUUGCUUUGGAGUUGGAUGUGUGCUUGCCAGCAACCCCUAAAUAUCAAA